AAUAUCCCUUGGAGAUUCCUUUCCUACAGUGACUUCCUCAGGUACUCCUGUGGAGGGACUCUGCGGUUGGAAUUAAGGUUACUUACCAAUGACCGUAAAAUGAGAUUUAUUUGGAUCAUACAGGUAGGCCCAAUCUAAUCACAUGGGCCCUUAAGAAGAGAGAAACUUCUCUGCCAGAAAGGAGAAAGGACAAAGGAGAAAGGGAUGCAACAGAGAUUCUAAGUUUGAAAAGGACUUGAUACUCGUUGCUGGCUUUGAAAAUGGAGGAAGUGGGCUAUCUGACAAGGAAUGCAGGCAGCCCAGCCAACAGCUGCCAAGAAGACAGGAAUCUCAGUCCUGCAACUGCAAGACACGCAAUUCCUCCAACAACCUUGAUGAAUCUGUAGAAUCUCUAGAAAGGCCAACACCUUGAUUUCAGGCAUGUGAACCUACACCAGAAAAGUAGCUGAGCCUAGACUUCUUACCUACAGAAAUGUAAAAUAAUAAAUGGAUAUUGUUUUAAGCUGCUAAGUUUGUGACAGCAGGUUACACAGAGAUAGGAAACUAAUGCAAACUAUUUUACAAAAUACUGCUAAGUGUUAUUUUAAAUAGUUUUGUAAGAGUGGAAUGGGUGGUAAUGAAACUGGACCCAGGGAGAAGGCUGAUAUGCCAUUCUGCUGUCAGUACAAUUGGAGUAAUAAUCAUAGUCGUAUUCAUAAUCACUGUGCUCAUGAAGCUUAAAUGUACCUUUUGCUUAAAAAUCAUGACUUACAUUUGCUUUAAAAGGGAUUCUAUUUUUACCUACAAAUGUUUAAAAUAUAUUAAACAAUGAUUCUAAAUAUACUAAAUGCUAGUUUGAGAGUUGCAGAAUCAUUACUUGCUUAGGCACGUAAACUGCUCCUAAAUGAUAGAGCCAAAAGAGUCUAACAUUUGGUUGCAAGCCAUAUAUCAUGGGUAGUUUUGUUUUAGUAACACAGAAUAGGAUGUGCUUCAUACUCAAAUUACUAAAAUUAGCACAAUAAUAAUGAAGCAUAUUACUGUGUGAUGGCCAAAGAACCAACCAAUAUUAUGUGUAAUUUCUCGAUGCACCAUCUUAGCCACCGUACAGCAGCAUAAUUAACAUUUAACCCACAGUAACAGGCAAAUAAUGUGGCUGACAUUUUAAUAUCACAGAGCAAAUUGACUGUUAAUGGGUUGAAAAGAUUAUUACUAUAAUAAAUUGAAGAGUAUACUGGAAAAUAAUCACCACCAAUUAUACUGGACAAAGUCUUGAUAAUUUAUUCUAGGCAUAUAUUUUCACCUUUUGAUUUACAAAGUUGUUUAAUAUCAUUAUUCCAUUAAAUACAGCUAAUCAAGUGCCUGAUCAGAAGAAAGACAUCAUUAUAGAGAAAAGGCACCAUCUGCAAGCCAGGAAGACAGACCCUGCCAGAACCUGGCCAUGCCUGUACCCCGUCUCAGACUUGCGGCCUCCAGGAAGUGACCUCACACUGUGCUUUCAAUCCAGGUGUUGAGAGGAUGGAGCUGACACAUCUUACGCUUGCGAGGCUUUAAUGAUGCCCAGAGCUUUCAUUUUCUUUUACACGCUGACAAUGGAAAACACGGUCUCCUUAUGUACAACAUAAAACCUAAUAAAGCAUCCAGCUGUUCUUUCCCUGGUGAUUCCUGCUGCUUCUAUCUGAGGUGCA